GUGCAUACAAAUGGAUGUAAGUCUAAGAAUCGAGGCAGGUAUACCAGGAAAAUCCGGUAUAUCAAUGAUGAGGUGUUAUGGGGAACCCGCAAGGGGAAGUACCUGAUUUCACGCUGCCGAGAAAAGUCUCUAUGGAGUUUUUAUGUGCCCGUACCGCAAACCGACACAGGUAGUCAAGAUGAGAAUUCUAAGGUGAGCGAGCGAACUCUCGUUAAGGAACUCGGCAAAAUGACCCCGUAACUUCGGGAGAAGGGGUGCUCUUUAGGGUUAACGCCCAGAAGAGCCGCAGUGAAUAGGCCCAAGCGACUGUUUAUCAAAAACACAGGUCUCUGCUAAACCGUAAGGUGAUGUAUAGGGGCUGACGCCUGCCCGGGGCUGGAAGGUUAAGA
rnacentral:rRNA from 1 species